CAAGUCCUGAUCCUGUAUACUGAGCGCUGGCCUGGCUCCCUGAACCUCAGAUCAUUCUCUGAUAGGAAGGAGGGGCCCUAUGUAAGCCCCCCUGAGAAGGGAACAGUUCCACAGUUUGUCACUCAUCUUUUCACUCGACUGAGCGAAGAAAAACAGUUCAGUGGCAUUCGAUUGUGAAUCUUGUUCAAAUUGUACCUCUUCCCAGCAAUUGUAAAACAUACUGUGGUUGUCAUGCCAGAGGAGGUGUGGCUGAUUGAGGUAACAGGGUUGGUGGAGAGGUGAAGGUAUCAUGUAGCAGCUAUAAAACAGCCAAGGGAACUCAACGAGGACAUUUCUGCUGAGAUACUUUGUAAGUUUUGAGGAGCUUAUUUGCGGCAUGUUCUGCUUUGUUGGUGUGUGUAGGCUUUUGUGUUGAGAGGUUGUCAGGACUGUUUAUAUGUUGACCUAGUGCGUGUUUAUAUCCUUGCCUAAUGCUGAAUUCAUACUUCACUAACUUUCGGAUUAAUGUUGUAAACAUUCUGUACUUUUGCAUUUCUAACUAAUAAAAGACAGAAGUUUAUACAGCUGGCUCAAGAGACAGAGUUUGGCUUUAUCUCAUUGGUUGUUGAUUUAUUAGAACAUGGUCAGAGUUUCAGCCAAACAAAUAACAGCAGGAGAAAACAGCUGAAGACAUCUGGAUCUGGUUGACUGGUACCAAGAAGGAAGUGUUUGUAAUCAAGGGGUCAGCGUGGGGGUCUAGUAUUGGGGUCUAGAAUGGGAACAUACUGGUAUUGUAGAUAGGGUGGUCUCAAUACAAACAUCACGUUGAUGAUGUGGAGGAGGUAUUAAAAAGAGAAAGCUUCACUUGCUUUGCAUUCUGUCCUGUUCUUGCAGCGGACCAUACAGCAGCAGUGACACCAUGAGGUUCCAGGCUCUGUUCUUUCUCCUGCUCCUGGCAUGCAUGUACCUCACUCUGGCUCAAGGUAGGCACCAUUAAACAAUCUAAGGAACAGUAUUCAUAUUCUGUAGAUUCAUUAUUAUGAAGUUUAUGUUCACUGAAAUUGGUGUAACAGUGUAAAGCAAGCCUUUCAUGUGUUUUGGUUCAUUCUCAGUACUUCUUGUAAUUUACUUCUUGUUGAAAAUAAAUCUACUGUACAUAGUAGCCUACACUCCACAUUUGUACACUUAAUGCAUUGUUGUGCCUGGAGACCUCAUUGUACCUCUGGAAUGGAGAAAAGUUGUUCUAUGUAUUUAAAGUUUUUAAUACAAGCUUCCAAUGGUCCAUACUUUGCCCAGAAGAGGAAUAUUUGGCCACUCAAAAUAAUGUAGAUAAUUAUUUAUGGGAGAAUUUUAGACUGAUGUGUUGGGAUAUCUGUCUCCCCCUCCUUUCAAAACAUUGUCUCAAAUCGCCUGGCACCAGAUUUCGCAACACUUUGACUUUGACGGUAGUUUACAUAGCUCAUAUGCAACUUCAAGCAGCUUAAAUAUGAAGUCCCUUUGAUGUCUCUCUUGCAUACAUCUGCAAUACCUUAACUCAUCAUUUUUUUUCAAAUUACAGAAACUAAUCAUUACACUAUUUUGCUAUUACAAUUGCACAAUUUAAACCAUUUGCUACUGAAAUAUCCCUACAUGACAGUAUGUCAUGGGUCAGCACAAUAAGAGUAUAGAGAAGACUGUAACCAUUUAACUUCCUCAUGCUUGUUGUUAGGGUCCUAUGAGAACUGCUGUCUGAGGCAUGUUGCUGGCCUGAAGAAGAGUACCAAGAGGAAUGUUGUACGCUACAGGAUACAGGAAACAGAUGGAGGCUGCAACAUCAAGGCCAUUGUGUUCAUACUGAAGAAAGGGAAGACUGUUUGUGCCAAUCCCAGCCACAAAUGGGUACAGCAUCUGAGGACUGUUGUCGAUAAGAUUCCAGGGAAUGAGGGGAUGUAGUUGAUCAGUUGCUUCGUUGGAGGAUCUUUCAACCAGUGUACCAAUUUCCAAAAAUAGGACAGUCAUAUCAUCCUGUAACUAGAAUGUGAACUUCAUUAUAUUACUCAUUAUAUUACAGUUUGGCUUAAUGAGUUUAUAUUACAUGCUUUUGGGAGGAUACCUGAGAUUCAGAUGGCUGUUAGCAUGAGGUGACUAUCCGUGCCUGCUUGUAAUGUGCCACGGCAGCUUAGCAUUAUUGUGUGAGGGGGCGGAGGGGAUGGGGCGGGGGGGGGGUUAUUCACUAUCCUCAUGGGUACCGGAAAUCCCCCAAAAGUCCUCACAAGGGUAGUCAAUUAGGGAACAUUUUCCCUCAUGGGGACAUUUCCCACAUCCCCACGAGGACAAAUGCUAUUUUAAACUUAGGGGUUAGGUUUAGGUUCAGGGUUAGGUUUAGGGUUAGGGUUCAGGUUAGGGGUUAGGGAAAAUAGAUUUUAAAUGGAAAUCAAUUUUAGGUGGGGGGGUGGGGCAGAAUGCAUUGAAAAGCUACAAUUACUAUUUUGUUAAACCUUGAGACACUACAUGACAAAAAGUAUGUGGACACCUGCUCUAGUCGAACAUCUCAUUCCAAAAUCAUGGCAUUAAUAUGGAGUUGGUCCCCCCCUUUGCUGCUAUAACAGCCUCCACUCUCCUGGGAAGGCUUUCCACUUUAUGUUGGAACCUUGCUGCAGGGACUUGCUUCCAUUCAGCCACAAGAACAAAUGUGAGGUCGACAUUGAUGAUGGGCGAUUAGGCCUGGCUCACAGUCGAUGUUCCAAUUCAUCCCAAAGGUGUUCAAUGGGGUUGAGGUCAGGGCUCUGUGUAUGCCAGUCAAGUUCUUCCACACCGAUCUCGACAAACCAUUUCUGUAUGGACCUCACUUUGUGCAAGGGGGCAUUGGCAUGCUAAAACAGGAAAGGGCCUUCCCCAAACUGUUGUCACAAUGUUGGAAGCACAUAAUCAUCUAGAAUGUCAUUGUUUGCUGUAGCUUCAAGAUUUCCCUUCACUGGAACUAAGGGGCCUAGCCCGAUCCAUGAAUAACAGCCCCAGACCAUUAUUCCUCCUCCACCAAACUUUACAGUUGGCACUAUGCAUUGGGACAGGUAGAGUUUUCCUGGCAUCCGCCAAACCAAGAUUCAUCCGUCGGACUGCCAGAUGAUGAAGCGUGAUUCAUCACUCCAGAGAACGCAUUUCCACUGCUCCAGUCCAAUGGCGGUGAGCUUUACACCACUCCAGCUGCUUAACAUUGCGCGUGGUGAUCUUAGGCUUGUGUGCCAGAGGAAAUUUGGAACUCGGUAGUGAGUGUUGUAACCGAGAACAGACAAUUUUUACGCGCUGAGCGCUUCAGCACUCGGCGGUCGCGUUCUGUGAGCUUGUGUGGCCUACCCCUUUUACGGCUGAGCCGUUGUUGCUCCUAGACGUUUCCACUUCACAAUAACAGCACCUAAAGUUGCCUGGGUUAGCUCUAGUAGGGCAGAAAUUUCACAAACUGACUUGUUGGAAAGGUAGCAUUCUAUGACGGUGCCACGUUGAAAGUCACUGAGUUCUUCAGUAAGGCCAUUCUACUGCCAAUGUUUGUCUAUGGAGAUUGCAUGGCUGUGUGCUCGAUUUUAUACACCUGUCAGCAACAGGUGUGGCUGAAAUAGCAGAAUCCACUCAUUUGAAAGGGUGUCCACAUACUUUUGAAAAUAUAGUAUAUUUUUCUAUCAGUACUAUGUGUUAAAAGCAAUAUUUGUAUAACUUCACAUUUGUAAUAAAGCAAAAAAUUAUAACAAGAUGUUUAUUAGCCUCAUACAUAUUUAUGUGUUUAUCAAUGUAGGAUUUGAUCACCUGUCCAUAUCAAUAAUCUCCCCUUCAUACUUUUCAUUUGUAUGUUUCUAAGGACAGCUCACUGCACACUUCCUGUACUUGAACUCUUUAUACACAUUUCAUUGGAAAAAGAAAACAGACAAUUGCUUCACGCCACAAAGCUUUAGCCCGUCUUAUUGCCUUCAGCAUGAACCUACAUGAGUUCUUUGAAGCUUAGUAGUUGUAAUGCCACAUACUUACCUGAAAUGUGAUGUGAUGGACAGAGAAUCAAUGACAGUUUAUACAUGCUCAUUCUUGCUCCAGUUUCAAUGUUACAGUGUGUGUGAUGCCGCAGGAGAAAUGUCUUUAGUAACGCCCAGGCUCCAAUAUGCUGCGGGGGGACUAGGUUCCCAUGGGAAGAUGUAUGAUUACACGGUGAAGAAUAAAUACAGUACAUUUAGUUUGAAAGCACACAAACUUCUUUCCCAGGACAGGGCAAAUCAAAUCAAAGUUUAUUGGUUGCGUAUACAGAUUUGCAGAUGUAUACAGAUUUGCAGAUGUUUUCGCAGGUGCCGCGAAAUGCUUGUGUUUCUAGCUCUAAAAGUGCCGUAAUACCCAUAUACAAAACAAUACACACAUAAUCCCCCCAAAAAUGAAGAAAUAUCAGAACGAGCCAUUUCAGAGUCCGGAAUAUAAAUAUAUAUUAUAAACUGGGUGGUUCAAUCCCUGAAUGCUGAUUGGCUGAAACAUUUAUUUUUACUACUCUAAUUACGUUGGUAAUUACGUUGCGUCGUGCAUAAGAACAGCCCUUAGCCGUGGUAUAUUGGCCAUAUACCACACCCCCUCUGGCCUUAUUGCUUAAUUAUAGGCUCGGCUAUAUAUAGUAUGGCAUUGGUUGAAGCUCAAUGUUAAUUUCAUUCUGCACCUACAGUACAUAGCUCACAUUCUAGACGUCGUAUUAAAACGAGACAAUAGCGUCCAUAAAGUGACCAUUGGACUUAAAAAAGUUUGUUGGUGCAAAAGUUUUAAUAAAAAAGUAUAAUUUAUCGCUCACAUGGGCUCAUUUCUGUCAAUUAAGAACAAACGAUGAGCUAACUUUUUGUAGCAUAUCUGAUGUUAACAUAUUUUCAGCCAAAUUUCAGAGUUCCAAAACCAGGAGCAGCAACUCGGUUGCUGCUCAACAGCAGCUAGCUAGUGGCAGGCUAUGAGCUAUAAUUAGCUAAUUAACAUCAGUCGGAUGAGAAGCAUGCUACAAGCAAAGGAAGCUUUUAGCAUCUCCAUACAUACAAGCCGCAUACAAACCACAGAUUCGCGCCUUUGGAACAUUUACAUUUUAAAAAGUCAAUAAAUCAAUUGAAUAUACACCAUCAUAAUAAAUCCAUUAUUUAUUUUAGGCAGCUCUAAAGAAACGUUGAUAUGAAGAAAAUGUAUUUCAGAAGAACAGAAUACGAGUUGGCCUACUGUAUGUUAUCUGGCUAUGUGCCAUGCCAUAGUCUGUAGACUUGUUCAACUUUAGUUGUGAAUGACAGAAACCUUAGAAUGUCUUAGAAAUCAAACCAUAUAUGGGCUGCAUGAUGUCAGUGGUGUAAAGUACUUAAGUAAAAAUACUUAAGUCGUUUUUUGAGGUAUCUUUUCUUUACUUUACUAUUUAUGUUUUUGACAACUUUUACUUUUACUUCACUACAUUCCUAAAGAAAAUAAUGUUAUUUUGACUCCUUAUAUUUUCCCUGACACCCAAAACUACUCGUUCCAUUUUGAAUGCUUAGCAGGACAGGAAAAUUGUCUAAUCCACGCACUUAUCAAGAGAACAUUCCUGGUCAUCCCUACUGCCUCUGAUCUGGCAGACUCACUAAACACAAAUGCUUUGUUUGUAAAUUAUGUCUGAAUGUUUAACUGUGCCACUGGCUAUCUGUGAAUUAAAAAAA
rnacentral:lncRNA from 1 species